GGGUCUAUUUGGGAUACCAUACUGUUGCACAGGUUUUUGCUGGAGCUACACUUGGUAUGUUUCUUGGAGCUCUGUGGUUCUGGGUUGUCAAUUCUGUGCUUUUCUGCUUCUUUCCGGCUAUAGAGGAGAGCCAAUUCGGCAGGAAGUUUUACAUUAAGGACACUUCUCAUAUAAGUAAUGUUUUGAAGUUCGAGUAUGAUAAUGCAAGAGCUGCCAGAGAAAAGUUGGAUUGUAAGUGCGACUGAUCGAGUGGGAUCUGAU
rnacentral:misc_RNA from 1 species